rnacentral:rRNA from 1 species
GUAGGGUGCAAGCGUUAAUCGGAAUUACUGGGCGUAAAGUGUGUGCAGGCGGGUUUGUAAGUCUGUCGUGAAAGCCCCGGGGCUCAACCUGGGAAUUGCGAUGGAGACUGCAAGGCUUGAAUCUGGCAGAGGGGGGUAGAAUUCCACGUGUAGCAGUGAAAUGCGUAGAGAUGUGGAGGAACACCGAUGGCGAAGGCAGCCCCCUGGGUCAAGAUUGACGCUCAUGCACGAAAGCGUGGGGAGCAAACAGGAUUAGAUACCCUGGUAGUCCACGCCCUAAACGAUGUCUACUAGUUGUCGGGUUUAAUUAACUUGGUAACGCAGCUAACGCGUGAAGUAGACCGCCUGGGGAGUACGGUCGCAAGAUUA